AUUCAGGAUCGCCAGUCAGCCUCUAGAGUCUGUAAAGAAAUACGUUUAUCUGGAUCAAUUACUCACAGGGUCCCCUGAUCAUGAGAUGGAACUUUGAAGAAUAAAAUUGGGUUGGAGUGCA
rnacentral:lncRNA from 1 species